AACGAACGCUGGCGGCAUGCCUAACACAUGCAAGUCGAACGAGACCUUCGGGUCUAGUGGCGCACGGGUGCGUAACGCGUGGGAACCUGCCCUUAGGUUCGGAAUAACUCCCCGAAAGGGGUGCUAAUACCGGAUAAUGUCUUCGGACCAAAGAUUUAUCGCCUUUGGAUGGGCCCGCGUUGGCUUAGCUGGUUGGUAGGGUAAAAGCCUACCAAGGCGACGAUCCAUAGCUGGUCUGAGAGGAUGAUCAGCCACACUGGGACUGAGACACGGCCCAGACUACGACGGGAGGCAGCAGUGGGGAAUAUUGGACAAGGGGCGAAAGCCUGAUCCAGCAAUGCCGCGUGAGUGAUGAAGGCCUUAGGGUUGUAAAGCUCUUUUACCCGGGAUGAUAAUGACAGUACCGGGAGAAUAAGCUCCGGCUAACUCCGUG
rnacentral:rRNA from 1 species